GAAUUCUCUAAUCUCUUCAUGAAGGCACUUAGUGCUAUAAAUUUUCCUCUUAGCACAACUUUCAUUGUGUCUCAUAAGUCUGGGUUCUAAAGACUCAAGGAAUCCCAGGAAGCAGACAACCCAGAAGCCUCAGGAAGUCCCUGAAACUGACCAGGCAGGCGCCUUAGGCUCCUCCUUCCCCACAUUCAUCUAACCAGUGAUAAUGGUUGAGAACACAGAGACCAGCUGAACCGCGUGGAAGCGACUCUGACCUGUUGUACCGCCUGCACACACUGUUCAGCGUACUUCAGGAUUCUGGCUUUCAUGAGCUGUCACCCAUGCUGGGGUGACAAUGCAGCUGUCUUCAAAGCAUUUUCUGCUCCUGUGAGAAAGCCAAGUCGAGAAUGUGCUCACUGUCCAAGGGCAGCAUGGGUUGCGUCCAGAUUCUGCCGCUACUCACUGAUCGGUGUGUGCCUGAGCCCAGAUGAAUCCACAGAAGGCCACACACUGUGAGUCAAGGAGCAUGGGGCAUGUGGGCAUCGUGUGAGUCCUCAGGGUGAAACUUGGAUCAAAUCCAAGUUCAGAACCUUCAUGCUGUGCGGCCCCAGGCCAAACUAUGGCUUUUUAAGCCUGGGCUGCCCACUUAUCUUCAUGCUGGUCACCAGUGAGACCGAUAAUCUCUGGGCUCCUCGCUGACACGGAAGGACCUUUCAUGCACUGAAAUGGCUUUUUCUUCCUUCUGUUUCUAUUUGUAUUUAUCUUUCAUGACGUAACAUAUAUAAAGUGUGCUUUAAUCGUA